rnacentral:rRNA from 1 species
GAUGAACGCUGGCGGCGUGCCUAAUACAUGCAAGUCGAGCGAACAGACGAGGAGCUUGUUCCUCUGACGUUAGCGGCGGAGGGGUGAGUAACACGUGGAUAACCUACCUAUAAGAGUGGGAUAACUUCGGGAAACCGGAGCUAAUACGGGAGAAUAUAUUGAACCGCAGUGGUCAAUAGUGAAAUUCGGGUUUUCUGUCAGGUAUAGAGGGAUCCGCGCCGCAUUGGGUGGUUGGUAAGGUAACGGCUUAUCAAGGCGACGAUGCGUAGCCGAAUUGUCAGGGGGGUCGGCCGCCCUGGAGCGGGGCCGCGGUCAAGACUCCUGAGGGAGGGAGCAGUAGGCAACCUUCCGCAAAGGGCGAAAGCCUGACGGAGCAGCGCCGCGUGUGAGAUGAAGGUCUUCGGAUCGUAAAGCUCUGUUAUUAGGGAAAAACAAAUGUGUAAGUAACUAUGCCCGUCUUGACGGUACCUAGUCAGAAAGCCACGGCUAACUACGUG